rnacentral:siRNA from 1 species
CAAGGUAAAAUGCUGCUUAAAGCA